AAAGUGGAGCAAUCCAUGAGUAAAGUGGCGUACGGGUGAGUAACACGUGGAUCAUUUACCUCUUGGUGGGGAAUAACCCUGGGAAACCGGGGCUAAUACCGCAUAAGCCUGCGAAGGGAAAGCAGCAAUGCGCCGAGAGAGGAGUCCGCGGCCGAUUAGCUUGUUGGUAGGGUAAUGGCCUACCAAGGCAAUGAUCGGUAGCCGGCCUGAGAGGGCACACGGCCACACUGGCACUGAAACACGGGCCAGACUCCUACGGGAGGCAGCAGUGGGGAAUCUUGCACAAUGGGGGCAACCCUGAUGCAGCGACGCCGCGUGAGCGAUGAAGCCCUUCGGGGUGUAAAGCUCUUUCGGCAGGAAAGAUAAUGACGGUACCUGCAGAAGAAGCUGCGGCUAACUACGUGCCAGCAGCCGCGGUAAUACGUAGGCAGCAAGCGUUGUUCGGAGUUACUGGGCGUAAAGAGUGUGUAGGCGGUUCUCUAAGUUCCGUGUGAAAUCUCCCGGCUCAACUGGGAGGGUGCGCGGAAAACUGGAGGGCUUGAGUAUGGGAGAGGAAAGCGGAAUUCCUGGUGUAGCGGUGAAAUGCGUAGAUAUCAGGAGGAACACCUGCGGUGUAGACAGCUUUCUGGACCAUCACUGACGCUGAGACACGAAAGCGUGGGUAGCAAACAGGAUUAGAUACCCUGGUAGUCCACGCCCUAAACGAUGCAUACUUGGUGUGAGCCGUUCAUUCGGUUCGUGCCGGAGCUAACGCGUUAAGUAUGCCGCCUGGGGAGUACGGUCGCAAGGCUGAAACUC
rnacentral:rRNA from 1 species